rnacentral:rRNA from 1 species
AUGCAUUUAUGAGGGGCUUGCGCCCUAUUAGUUAGUUGGUAGGGUAAUGGCCUACCAAGACGAUGAUGUGUAGCUGGACUGAGAGGUUGAACAGCCACAUUGGGACUGAGACACGGCCCAAACUCCUACGGGAGGCAGCAGUAGGGAAUUUUCGGCAAUGGAGGAAACUCUGACCGAGCAACGCCGCGUGAAUGACGAAGUACUUCGGUAUGUAAAGUUCUUUUAUCAAGGAAGAAAAGCAAAUGGCGAACCAUUUGUUUGCCGGUACUUGAUGAAUAAGCCCCGGCUAAUUAUGUGCCAGCAGCCGCGGUAAGACAUAAGGGGCAAGUGUUAUCCGGAAUUAUUGGGCGUAAAGGGUGCGUAGGCGGUCUAGUAAGUCAGUGGUGUAAUGGCCAACGCUUAACGUUGUCCGGCUAUUGAAACUGCUAAACUUGAGUUAGAUAGAGGCGAGUGGAAUUCCAUGUGUAGCGGUAAAAUGCGUAAAUAUAUGGAGGAACACCAGAGGCGUAGGCGGCUCGCUGGGUCUUAACUGACGCUGAGGCACGAAAGCGUGGGGAGCAAACAGGAUUAGAUACCCUGGUAGUCCACGCCGUAAACGAUGAGUACUAAGUGUCGGGUUAAACCGGUACUGAAGUUAACACAUUAAGUACUCCGCCUGAGUAGUACGUACGCAAGUAUGAAACUUAAAGGAAUUGACGGGACUCCGCACAAGCGGUGGAUCAUGUUGUUUAAUUCGAAGAUACCCGAAAAACCUUACCAGGUCUUGACAUGUUUUUGCAAAAUGAUAGUAAUAUCGUGGAGGUUACCAGAAACACAGGUGGUGCAUGGUUGUCGUCAGCUCGUGUCGUGAGAUGUUAGGUUAAGUCCUAAAACGAGCGAAACCCUUAUCGUUAGUUGCCAGCACGUUAUGGUGGGGACUUUAACGAGACUGCCAAUGAUAAAUUGGAGGAAGGUGAGGAUCACGUCAAAUCAGCAUGCCCCUUAUGACCUGGGCUACAAACGUGAUACAAUGGCUGUUACAAAGGGUAGCUGAAACGCAAGUUCUUGGCCAAUCCCCAAAAACAGUCCCAGUCCGGAUUGAAGUCUGC